rnacentral:lncRNA from 1 species
CACCUCCCUUUGCAGUCCGGCCCAGAUCGUCCUCGGAACCCGGUGUGGCCCCACCUCCCUUUGCAGUCUGGCCCAGAUUGUCCUCGAACUGGUGUGGCCCCACCUCCCUUUGCAGUCCGGCCCAGAUUGUCCUCGGAACCCAGUGCAGGCCUCAUGCAUGGCAAAUAUUCCACAAACACACGCGGAACUGAACAUCACCAUCAACGCAUUGAUCAUUACCAUUUAGUGAAAUAAUGAAGGCUGCCCUUUAAAUUUGCAUUUGUGUGGACCAAUCAUCAGUAGCCAAGUGACCUGCUGCCCUGUCUCUGUGGACCACAACUCAGGGGAGCCCCGAGCAGAGCCAGCUCCCCGAAGUCCUCCAAUUGUUUACAUUUACGUCACAUGUGGAACUAUGAUCUGGGAAAGUUGGAUGUGGCCAAGUCAGAGGAGCUGAGCCUGCCCUGGGCUGGCUGCAGAAGACUCGGAAUUCACUGCCUGGUUGGACCCUCACUGCAGAUUUGGGAUGUAGGAGGGCAGGUGGUGGUAUCCCCUGGAAGAGUGCUGGGAGGAGGCAGCUGAAGACAGGGGAAGGCUCCAGGUUAGUGGCACAGAUGUCAUGGGCCUGUCGUCAAGAUAAAAGCAAUGGGAAUAUGACGGACCAUGUCAAGAUCUUUUGUGUGGAGGCCGGUCCAGGGGCCACUCAAGACCUUAAGUACAGCACCUCCGUAGGAAUUCUGCUGGGAUGCCACAGGAGAGGUCGGACACUUCUAAGACCUCACUCUCAGCAAGACUCGAGUCUCUUACUGUGUUUCCCACCACAAACACCCCACGGGAGCUACACGACAAUGACAGUGAAGGCUUGGGCCCCGCCACUUCUCCCUGCAGCCACUGUGCCCGCUCGGUCACUGGACCACCCUCUCAGGGGCACUGAUGUGCAGAAAAAAGCUGUUGAUCAACUGGAAUGGAUUUAAAUGAUUCUGGUUAAUUUUUUACUGUGGUCGAAGAACCGUGAGCCUUUUCCUAGGAGGACAGGCACUUAUUCCUCGCACAGGUUUCAACAAGAACAUUACGAGCUGCCUGCCUGGCCCACUGGUACAUCUGAGCCCAACGUGCCUCACAUACAUGGUCUCUGCGGAGAGAACAACCUCGGUUCAGCUCCUGCCUCCCACACUUAAUCUACGGGAACUUCUGUUUACCAUCUUUAGGGUAGUGGUAAUACUAAUUCUUUCUGCAAGGACCGUUGCAACAAUUCAAUAAGACCACGGAUGUGUGAGGGCUUCUUCAAGGAAGCCAGAGGGAGGGCCAGUGUGGCCACCGAGGCUCCUGUCUGUGGGUGGACACCAGCACAGGGGAAGCAGACGUGUUCCUGCCAUUGUCAGAUACAAGGCUGCAGUUAGGGGGUCCUGCCUAGUCCACUGGCUUGCUCUGAGCAGCUGUUCUUAUUGAAGCACGUGCCCAGGAGACGGCUUUAUUUCCCUCCCUCUCUCUGUUGUUAAGCAGUUCAAAAGUCACUGAGAGGUCAAGUCCUGAAGGCUAUGUACAAAGAACGACUCUCCUGAAAAGAUGGCCCCUGCUUCCCACAGCCCCACCGCUGAAGUCAGUGUUUGUGUUGGAGAAUAAUUAAAGCUGAUCACGUUUUGUCCCUAACACGGAGUGACAUCUUUUGAAUCUCUGCAUAUUGCUGUUUUCACUAAGCCACAUGUAACACUUCAGAGUGCCAAAUGCUUUUUAAAAAAUAGCCCUGGCUCUGAAAGAGUGCUGCAGAAUAACUCUGAUGGAAUAUGGCUUCUAUGAAAACACAAAAUGUUAAUCACCCCCCCAAGAAAAAAAGAAUUCAAAGAAUUGUUUGAAAAGAGAUGUUUGUUCUGGGCACGUAUUUCAAGGGCAAAAGUGCUUGAAGAGGAGUGGCUUACGUUUGUUCUGGUUCCUUAAGAUCUCCAGCCCAGCUCCCCAAACGGAGAGAAAUGGAGACCAGUCUUGCUUUCUGCAAAUUGGAGGCAUCACCUGACUCUUGUGUGCUGUCCAGGUAUGGUCAGGACUCAUGAAACAAGAGGUGGCAUUGGACACCUUGGAAGAGAAGCCAUGCCCCAGGCAGACCCUUUCUCACUCUCUGCAGCCCUGCACAGGCCUGUGUUCCCGCCGACCACCAGCCUCUGUGAACUUCUGCUCCUUGUCCUGCCUCCCCAGCCCAGCCCUGGAUUUUAGUGGCUACUGCGUACAAACCAGUUUCCAGCCUUAGCCAGUGCUCCUUGCUGCCCAGCCAAGAAUCUACAUACUCAUCCUCUGUCCCCUUCUGGCUGCUUCUCCUUCCCCUCUGAGACAAUUUCACCAGCCCCCAUACUGACCGGAGCUGACCCUGGAACUCAACUGAAAUAAUAGAACCAGCAGGCAGUUCCCACUCAACGUGCUUCCCUGAGCCUGCCUGUCUCCAGGACAAAGCCACCUCUGCGCUCCUCAUGCCCAUCUUCUCCUGCCUUCCCAGGAACCUCACCCCAUCAAGCACGCUUUCCCUCCUGAAAUCUCCAGGUUCUCUUCUCUUUUGGCUGUUUCCCCUCAUCCUAUGUAUACAAUCCAUUCUCUCCCAUCUUAAAAACAAACUACAGAAACAGUAAAGAGAUCAGUAGUUGCCACGGGUUCAGGGCAAGGUGGGAGGGAUGAGUAGCUGGAGCCCAGGGCACUAGGGUGGAGGAAUGCUUCCAUAUGAUGUUGUCAUAGUGGGUACAUGACAUUGUACAUUUGCCAAAAGCCAUCGAUCUGUACCACAUAAAGCACCAACCCUAAAGGAGACUAUGGACUUUAGUUAAUGAUAAGGUGUCCACAUGGCCUCAUCAACUAUGACGAAGACACCACACAAAUGCAAGAGAAUAAUAAGGGAAAUUGUAUGAAGGGUGGUGGGUGGGGGGGGGUGGAAUAAUACAAGGACUCUCUGUACUUCCUGCACAGUGCUUCUAUAAACACAGAAAUGUUCUAAAAGAUCAUCUAUUAAAAAAGCAAAACCGAACAAGACCUUCCCCUUGGUGGCUUUCAUGUAAAUGGCAGGGUAAGUAUAGGUAGUUAGCUCCCCUUUCCAGAGUCCAAAGGAAAUAUUUUUUAAGCUAGGGAAGCCUGUACCACACAGAAAACUGACAUCACUUGAUUCAUGCAACUUCCACUAGAAAGGUUCAGGUAUGUCUGUACUGAAAUAGAGGAAAGGUGGAAUUAUAACCAACGUUUCGCGGAAAGAGUAACUUGGUUCCAAAUGAGGGAGAUGAGAGACCCUGGUGUCACUCGCAGAGGCAGGAAGACAGGCAAUGAACAGAAAGGCAGCCAGCGGGGCGUCCCCAGGACAAACACUGCAAUGGGCUAGAUUUCCUCAGGAUGAGAAAGUCAAGGGGGAACGGAAGGUUUUUUAAGAGAAGCUACAAGGGCAGAAAUAAUCAACAAAAAGAAACCCACAAAGGUGAAGAAGGACUAGGUGAAGGUGAACACAGGAUCGCUGAAUUUCCAUAACAUAAAGCCUCAAAGAGCCGAGGGUGCCUGUGCUGCUGAGAACGGAAAGGAGAAGGCCCCGGUGGAAGCUCUCGUCACAGCCACGUUCCACGCCACAGGAGGGCGUUCCCAGACAGGCCCGAUUUUAAGUAUAUGAACCGGGAACCCUUCCCCAGAAGACUUUUUAGAGGUAUAAGCAAUUCUGCCCAAAGGGCAGUCAACAUUUAAAAGCUGAGAAUAGAGAAGUCAUUCGAAAAAAGGACCAACAGGAAGUAUCGAAACCAUCUACCUGUGGAUUUCUGUCUACAAACCGGCUGUAAACGGCGACACGGCAUGUAAACGCUAACAAUAAUGCUUUAUUAAGGGGAAUUACACUUACCAGUCACAAUGCAGGCUCUGCUAGAAACAAAUCCAGGAUCACAUCUAUAAGAACCAGGUGAUAUUGCUGUCAGCCUAAAAAACCCAAGUGGUAAAUUGAGAACUUCUCAAAACUAAUAAACAUGCUAACUGAUAUGAUUUGGAUCUG